rnacentral:rRNA from 1 species
UACGUAGGGUGCAAGCGUUAUCCGGAAUUAUUGGGCGUAAAGAGCUCGUAGGCGGUUUGUCGCGUCUGCUGUGAAAACUGGAGGCUCAACCUCCAGCCUGCAGUGGGUACGGGCAGACUAGAGUGCGGUAGGGGAGAAUGGAAUUCCUGGUGUAGCGGUGGAAUGCGCAGAUAUCAGGAGGAACACCGAUGGCGAAGGCAGGUCUCUGGGCCAUUACUGACACUGAGAAGCGAAAGCAUGGGGAGCGAACAGG